rnacentral:rRNA from 1 species
GGGUUGUGAGGUUAAGCGACUAAGCGUACACGGUGGAUGCCCUGGCAGUCAGAGGCGAUGAAGGGCGUGCUAAUCUGCGAUAAGCGCCGGUAAGGUGAUAUGAACCGUUAUAACCGGCGAUACCCGAAUGGGGAAACCCAGUGUGACUCGUCACACUAUCAUUAACUGAAUCCAUAGGUUAAUGAGGCGAACCGGGGGAACUGAAACAUCUAAGUACCCCGAGGAAAAGAAAUCAACCGAGAUUCCCCCAGUAGCG